rnacentral:misc_RNA from 1 species
UACGGGGGGAGCAAGCGUUGUUCGGAUUUACUGGGCGUAAAGGGCGCGUAGGCGGCCAUCGCAAGUCAGUUGUGAAAUCUCCGAGCUUAACUCGGAAAGGUCAACUGAUACUGCGAGGCUAGAGUGCAGAAGGGGCAACUGGAAUUCUCGGUGUAGCGGUGAAAUGCGUAGAUAUCGAGAGGAACACCGGUGGCGAAGGCGGGUUGCUGGGCUGACACUGACGCUGAGGCGCGAAAGCUAGGGGAGCGAACGGG